rnacentral:rRNA from 1 species
AUUGAACGCUGGCGGCAGGCCUAACACAUGCAAGUCGAGCGGAUGAAGGGAGCUUGCUCCUGGAUUCAGCGGCGGACGGGUGAGUAAUGCCUAGGAAUCUGCCUGGUAGUGGGGGAUAACGUCCGGAAACGGGCGCUAAUACCGCAUACGUCCUGAGGGAGAAAGUGGUGGAUCUUCGGACCUCACGCUAUCAGAUGAGCCUAGGUCGGAUUAGCUAGUUGGUGGGGUAAUGGCCUACCAAGGCGACGAUCCGUAACUGGUCUGAGAGGAUGGUCAGUCACACUGGAAGUGAGACACGGUCCAGACUCCUAGGGGAGGCCGCAGUGGGGAAUAUUGGACAAAGGGCGAAAGCCUGAUCCAGCCAUGCCGCGUGUGUGAAGAAGGUCUUCGGAUUGUAAAGCACUUUAAGUUGGGAGGACGGGCAGUAAGUUAAUACCUGGCUGUUUUGACGUUACCAACAGAAUAAGCACCGGCUAACUUCGUG